rnacentral:misc_RNA from 1 species
UAUAUAAUACGAUGACACACAAUAGUACUGAGCACUUGUGACCAAAUCAACGAAUGCUGCUAAGUUGAUAAUGAAUAUAUAUAAUUUAUCACGUUUGCCAUGAUCAGACUAUAAUUUUAAAUAUUUUGUUGCCCUAGAAGUAAGAUUCUUUUAUAGACUUUUUUAAAACUUGAUUUGGUUGAUACACAAUAAUUUUCUGAUACA